GAAGGACAGAGACUAAAUCACUGACGUACACACUGCCGACUGGACAGAGACAACUGGCUUUUACAAUGAUCAGACCGGAUUAUUUGGUUGUUUUUCUCAUCCUGUCUAUUAACUGGGCAGGUACUGAGGGUCAAACACUGACCGAGUCUGAACCAGUGGUUAAAAGGCCUGGAGAAUCCCACAGACUGACCUGCACAUAUUCAGGGUUCGGUGGUGAUUAUGACAAUGCUUGGAUCAGACAGGCUGUUGUAAGGACUGAAGUGGAUCGCUGAGCCACAGUGACUGGAGUUGGUUAAGCAGCUGUACAAAAUCCUACAGUACUCAUCUUUACCACAAUUAUCUCACAUGAUUAAUGUCAUUACUUCAAUUAAUCCAAGAAAACCUCCUGGCUGCCACUAAUGACCACUGAUGGUUUCAACACCAGCUCACUGUUAGAGAGAAUGAGACGUAUUUAUUUUGCUUUCACUUCUCUCGUCUUUGAAGUAAGAAAAUACAAUAAAAACAAACAUAUCAAUCAAUAAAUCUUACAGUUACAAUAAGAUCUAUGUUUUCACAGUUUUAGAAUUUCUGAAAUAAACUGUUUUAAAUCUUAACAAUACAAAAAAGUCAACAUAAGUGCAGCCAUUAUGUAACUCACUUGAGUAGUUCAAAUUUUAGAAGAACAAAUCUGCUGGAUCCUUCAACAAAAAAUAAGAAUAAUCACAUUUUUCUAAAUUUCCUCAGCAGUUCUUUGUAGUCAUGGAGGUACAGAUGUUCACUGUAGCUCUGAUACUGAUCUUAUGAUCUAAUAUUACAUCAGCUUUUGUGAGGAUUCGUGUGUGCACAUAUAACAACAGUAAACCCUGGUUUACAGCUAAACUCAGGCAGCUUCGUCAGGCCAAGGAGGAGGCCUACAGCAGUGGCGACAGAAUCCUGUACAACCGGGCCAGAAGCUCACCGACACAAGAGAUCAGAGUAGCAAACAGAAGCAACACUGAAAAGCUGAAAAACAGGUUUUCAUUCAGCAACCCUGCUUCACUGUGGAAAAAUCUGCAGGACUUCACCAGCUACAGGAAACCAUCCCCCCACACUGUGGAGAACCAUCAACUGGCCAACGACCUGAAUGUGUUUUACUGCAGGUUUGAUAAAGUCAUCAUUCAUACACCUCACCCGCUCCGACUCAGACAUCACACAACCAGCUGCACCCCCUGCCACCCCCUCACGCCUCCCCACUGACCCCCACUUGCACUUAGGAUCUGUGAUGAGGAUGGGUGUCAUCUCUUUCAGAGAAAGAAGAUCAGGAAGUUCCUCAGGACCUGUUCCAGCUUCUCCCCUCUGGUGUGAAGUGUGAACAGCUGACACAGCCAGCCUCUGUGACUGUGCAGCCAGGUCAACGUCUGACCAUCACCUGUCAGGUCUCUUAUUCUGUGAGUGACUACUACACAGCUUGGAUCAGACAGCCUGCAGGGAAAGGACUGGAGUGGAUUGGAAGUGCAGCUGAUGGAGAUUCAUACUACAAAGAUUCACUAAAGAACAAGUUCAGCAUCGACUUAGACUCUUCCAGCAGCACAGUGACUCUAAACGGACAGAAUGUGCAGCCUGAAGACACUGCUGUGUAUUACUGUGCCAGAGAGCCACAAUAACACAAACCAUCAGUAGACCUGAACAAAAACCCCUCAGUGCCUGAACACUUGUAACAUGAAGCCACCAGAGGAGGAGCCCUCAGACCACUGAUGGUUUCAACACCAGCUCACUGUUAAAGAGAGAAAGAGAUGUAUUUUGCAAUGAAAAAGUAAAAGUGAUAUAACAUGGCUCAUUAUAAUAUACAAUAAUAAUAUUAAAUAUACAGUGGAGGCAUUUUCCAAAAAGUGUCUUCUCUGUCAGACUCACAAUAUUCAUGUGAAUUAAUGUCAGCAUUAUUUCAGCUCAUAACUGCGUUUUAAAAAGCUCUUCAUCUAACAAGAAAUUAAACAAAUAAUUCCAUCUUAAUGCCACUUUUUGUAACUUUUUUUAUUUUUUAAAAUAAAAAUAGACACAUUAAAUUGAUGAUAAAAGCAGAAAGAACUUCACUCUAUCAGUGCUCUUCAGCUUCUUUUCAUUUUAAGUUUGACCUAUUUGAAUAAAAUUUAAAAACUAAAUAACUAUUUAUAAUAUUGGAAUGAGACUUAUUGUGUUUUUCCUCAUGCCUUACACUAUGGUAACGGAGUUUAUGUUUCUAUGACUGGACAAUUUCUUUGUACUGAAACAUGGGUAUUCAUGGAAUCCAUGUACUGAUGGGUUACAUAUUUUUCUGGAAUUUGUUUUUGAAGCUUAAAUAAUAUUCUCUUUCCUACUGGGGUCUUCUUUCUCCUGACACACUUAUUGGUAUUGUGUGUAUUGUAAAAUGUAUAAACUAUUGUCAAAGUCUUCACAAAAUGCAGACUGUGCUUAUUAACCAACUUGAAUAAUGUGUUUGUCAACCUGUUGCACAAAUUAUACUGAAACAUGUAAAAGGGACUCUUGGAGGAAUGACUCAUGUACAGUAAACAUU